rnacentral:rRNA from 1 species
CCUACGGGAGGCAGCAGUGAGGAAUAUUGGUCAAUGGGCGAGAGCCUGAACCAGCCAAGUCGCGUGAGGGAGUACUGCCCUAUGGGUUGUAACCCUCUUUUGUCGGGGAGCAAAAGCCGGACGUGUCCGUCUGUGAGAGUACCCGAAGAAAAAGCAUCGGCUAACUGCGUGCCAGCAGCCGCGGUAAUCCGGAGGAUGCGAGCGUUGUUCGGAUUUGUUGGGGUAAAAGGGGGCGCAGGCGGAUUUUGUAGUCAGCGGUCAAAUCGUGGGGCUCAAACCCAUCCAGCCGUUGAAACUGGGGAUCUAGAGUGUGCGAGAGGUAUGCGGAAUGCGUGGUGUCGCGGUGAAAUGCAUAGAUAUCACGCAGAACCCCGAUUGCGAAGGCAGCAUACCGGUGCACAACUGACGCUCAGGCACGAAAGCGUGGGUAUCGAACAGGAUUAGAUACCCUAGUAGUC